rnacentral:rRNA from 1 species
UACGUAGGGUGCAAGCGUUAAUCGGAAUUACUGGGCGUAAAGCGUGCGCAGGCGGUUAUGUAAGACAGGUGUGAAAUCCCCCGGGCUUAACCUGGGAACUGCAUUUGUGACUGCAUAGCUAGAGUACGGUAGAGGGGGGAUGGAAUUCCGCGUGUAGCAGUGAAAAUGCGUAGAUAUGCGGAGGAACACCGAUGGCGAAGGCAAUCCCCCUGGACCUGUACUGACGCUCAUGCACGAA